UCCAGGGAAACUCAAAGAGUGGGUAAUGAUCGACGAUGAUCGUUGUUAAUUAAAACGAUCGAUACCAAAAGUUCCAGUCUAAAAUUAAUGGCAAGUAAGCAGAGCCUUGCAGCUCUCUUCUCACUCUUGCAGGUACCAAUAGCUAGCGUUCUAGUGCAGAGUUAACUACUAAGUAGAGAGCAACACUCGGUGAACAAGUUUUGCUACGGACUCUUCUGAAAAGGCAGCAAUGGUAAGCAAAACUAGGCAUAACUCGAGAACGAAGCUUUAUUUUGCAAAUCCACAAAUACCAAGCCAAGAAAACAUGACUAGCAGCCUAUAGAAACUCUUACUUGCACUUUAUUGAUCCUUGAGCAGCUGAAACAGUCUACACACACACAGACACACAGACACACUACCGUAUAUCUCACUUGCGCAUAAUAACUGAACACCAUGACAUUUACUACAAAGUGAACAUUGAGCUGUUAUUGAGUAAAUAAAUGAGUAAAUAAAUGAGUAUAGAUCUAGAUAUAUAUCUACUAGGUGAACACAAAACGUAAGUGAUAGCUCAGAAACUUAGAACAAUCUGUUUAACAUAAUAUUGAGCAUUUCCACUGUUCCGAGCAUUUCCACUGUUCACGGAUGUCAUGCAUGUUGGUCAAUCCUCACGCAAUUAAUGUGGAACCAACGUGGACAAUAAUCACAUCCCACCCAAUUCUCCUCGUCUCCUGCCUGCUGGCACUGCUGACAAAUGGGUGGUACUGUGUCUCCCCUUCAUCCGUUUGCUGCGCUUCAACACAGGAGUAUUAAUUGUCUUCAGUGCAAAGUGUAAGAGCACGCUUUAGUUGUUUUAUCACGGCUUCACCACUGCUCGCUGGAUCUCUGUUCGUACCACUGUCUGAUGGAGGGGUCUCUACAGCUACCACAGGAGGAGUUGUACUGCUGUUUGAUGGAGGAAUCUCUACCACGUGAGGAGUGUCUGAUGAUGGAGGGGUCUCUACCAAAGGAGGAGUUGUACUGCUGUUUGAUGGAGGGGUCUCUACAACAUGAGGAGUGUCUGAUGAUGGAGGGGUCUCUCUUUCCACACAGGUUUCCUUUGGAGGAGUCUGAUUCUCCCCGCCCCAAAGGCCACUGGAGUCCUUGUCAACUUCCUCUAGCUGAACACACCUCUUCUCCAUGCAUGUAUAGCUAUAAAAAAGACACAAAAUUGUAUGAUUAUAAUUAUGUGCAUGCUGCAUAUACUAUCUAUUAAAGGUAUGCCCUGAUAAAUUAUAAUUUUAGCAUGAAUAUUGAUGAAUGUUAUAAUUAUUAUAAUUACAUACACCUGCUUCCAACUUUUCGAGAAAAGACUCGUCAAAGCUGGACUGGUAGAUCUGCGAGCACUUCUUUUGCUUAGCAUGCAUGGAUGCUAGCUAGAUGGCAUCGUGGUCCUGUCAGUUGUUUUGUUUAGGAACCAUUGGGGAUUGACAGUGUUCAAAGGGAAGUUGGCAAUUCUCUUCUGAAAGUCUUGCACAGUGAUUGAGAUCUGUUUGUCACUAAGUGCAGCACAGAGCUCCCGUACAAUUACUUCACUACUCGACUACUUCACUAUACCCAACUACUUCACUACUUCACUACUUCACUACCUCACUCACUGGCACUAUCCAACUACUUCACUACCCAACUACUUCACUAUACCUCACUCACUACUUCACUACUUCACUACCCAACUACUUCACUACCCAACUACUUCACUACCCAACUACCUAGCUACUGCACUACCCAACUACUUCACUACUUCACUACCCAACUACUUCACUACCCAACUACCCGACUACUUCACUACCCAACUACUUGACUACUUGACUACCCAACUACUUGACUACCCAACUAC